rnacentral:lncRNA from 1 species
AAAUAUAAAAGUCAAUCAAUCAUUUGUUUGUUUAUUUAUUUUGUUUUCAAAAUAUAUUGCCAUACAAUUUUGCCUUAUAUUUUUGAAACUCACUCUGCUCUUUUAACUUUUCUUGCUUUUUUUUUUUCCAAAUUAUUUAGAAUACUAAUAAUUGUUUGUUUUUAUAGAAGCUGUUCGCCGCAACGCGCGGGUCCUUCACUAGUUAAUUAGAAAAUAGAAAAAAGUAAAAUAAGGCUCCAAAAUAGACCCAUUAAAAGUUUCUAUCAUGUUGCUUUUAACUUUUUUAUAUUAUUUCUAGAUGUUCUUUACUGCUAUUUUCAACUGGUAUUUUAUAACAGGGCUACUAGUAAUGCCUCGGAAGGAAAAAGAAUAAAAUUAGCACAGUAUAAAAGACUAAAGAAAAAUUCAAAAAGUGCUUUUGUAGUAUAGUAUAAUUAGCUCAUUCUUAAUUAUGUACUAGUGAAGGUCCGCGCUUCGCGGCGGAAAAUUUAUGCAGUUUCUAAAAUUUUUUGAACAAACUAAUAUAUUCCUAUGUUUCAGUUGUUAGCAUUCAUUUUUUUUACUUUUUUUAAUUUUCAAAUCUAAUUUUAAAUUUUAAACUUCAAAAAAUUAAAAAGAGAGACAAAGUAAAAGAAUUAUUUAAAUAGAGAGGAAUAAAAAAUUAUAUAAUAUAUAACUAAUUAUUAAUAAAUUUAAUUAAUUAAUUAAUUUUAUAGAGUUUAGAGAUUUAAAAUUUUAAACUUUGAGCUUAAAAUUGAAUAUAUAUUAUAAGUUAACAUUAAAAUUUAAAAGUUAAAAAUAAAAUUUAAAAUUUAAAAUUUAAAAUUUUAAAAUUCUCUCUCUCUCUCCCUCUCUCUCUUCCUCUCCCUCUCUCACUCUUUCUCUCUCUGGCUCCAUCUCUCACUCUGUCUCUCUCUCCUUCUCUCUCUCCCUCUCUUUCUCUCUCUCUCUCUCACUCACUUUCUCUGUUUCUCUCUCUCCCCGCAUACAUGCCAGCCCCCCUGCCUCUCUCUCUCUUUUUCCCUCUCUUCCUCUCCUCACCUGUAAUACACUGGACUUUCGCAAAUUGCAGAGUUCAAGUGGGUGGAAUGAAGUGUGGAAUUAUUCUACAUGUUCUAAUUGACUUGGACAAGUUUUUGAACAAGUUAGAGGAUGAUUGGAAUGCUAAAAGUGAGAAAAUGCAUUGAACUGGCGAAAUCAGCCUUUUUCUGCUUGCUGUUCCGGUACAGNGAUCACUAUGGAUUUCAUCGUUGGAUUACCUCGCUCACAGGCAGGUCACGAUGCCAUUUGGGUAAUUGUAGACAGAUUGACCAAAUCUGCCCACUUUAUUCCAAUCCACAAAACUUGGUCAGAAGAGAAACUCGUACAAGUAUACCUUGAUGAAAUUGUGCGAUUACAUGGAGUACCAGCCUCUAUUGUUUCAGACCGAGACACCCGAUUCGUUUCACAUUUCUGGAAGAGCUUACAGGAGGCUAUGGGUACCCGACUGGAUUUUAGUACUGCUUUCCACCCCCAGAGUGAUGGGCAGUCUGAGCGUACCAUCCAGACUCUUGAGGAUAUGUUGCGGGCCUGUGUGAUUGAUUACCAGGGCAGUUGGCCACAAUUCUUACCGAUGGCUGAAUUUGCUUAUAACAAUAGUUAUCAAGCAAGUAUUCAGAUGGCACCUUUUGAAGCCCUUUAUGGUAGAAAGUGCAGAUCAACACUUCAUUGGAGCGAAGUGGGAGAGAGAUUAGUUUUGGGUCCAGAUGUACUACAAGAGGCUGAAGCUAAAGUUCGACUUGCGCGAGAACAUCUACUGACAGCACAAAGUCGACAAAAGAGCUAUGCGGAUAAACGUCGGCGAGAACUGGAAUUUCAAGUUGGCGAUCAUGUAUUCCUAAAGGUUUCCCCGACGAAAGGAGUUAAGAGAUUUGGCAUUCGAGGAAAGUUGAGUCCUCGGUUCAUUGGACCCUACGAGGUGUUGGAGCGGAUUGGUCCUGUAGCCUAUCGGCUGGCUUUGCCGCCAAGCCUAUCGGGAGUGCAUAAUGUAUUUCAUGUAUCGACACUUCGAAAGUAUAUUUUUGAUCCAACUCACAUAUUGGACAGUACUCCAGUGGAUUUACGAGAGGAUUUGAGCUUUGAGGAGCAUCCAGUGAGAAUACUAGCUCGAGAAGUGAAAAGGCUUCGAAAUCGUGAGAUACCCUAUGUGAAGAUCCUUUGGGGCAAUCACGAUGAACGGGAAGCCACUUGGGAACUGGAGAGUGCAAUGCAAGAGCAUUAUCCCUAUCUAUUCUCGAUGGAAUCGUGAGGUAAGUGUUUACAAGUUUCGCGGACGAAACUUCUUUUUAGGAGGGGUGAAUGUAAUACACUGGACUUUCGCAAAUUGCAGAGUUCAAGUGGGUGAAAUGAAGUGUGGAAUUAUUCUACAUGUUCUAAUUGACUUGGACAAGUUUUUGAACAAGUUAGAGGAUGAUUGGAAUGCUAAAAGUGAGAAAAUGCAUUGAACUGGCGAAAUCAGCCUUUUUCUGCUUGCUGUACCGGUACAGCCAUCACCUUGUACCGGAACAAGUUGGCAGAUUCGUGGCAGCAAGGUUAGUUUGGUAAUUUCACAUCUUGUUCUCAGCUAUUUGAUCCCAGCACGACUCCUGGAGCUUGCUGGAGUGUGCUAGAGCUCAGAGGAGCUGCCUUACACCUUCCUCACUCUCUCUCUUUAGGGUUUUUUCUCUCUCUACAAAGAAUUCGCCGAUUUCGCUCGUUUUCGUCGCAACGUUGGUUCUUCGCUGUUCGCAUGUGUCGCAGAGCUUACGUGGACGCGUGAGAGAGUAUUUUGGAGAGCUUUUCGCAGCUCUGGACCAGUGGGUUGCUGGUUGGAAACUUGAAAGGUAAACGACUUGAUGUUUUUUUCGUUAUCGGCAUUCUAUUCGUCGAUUUGAGUAUUGAGUUUGAGUUUUUGCUUCUUACCGAUGUAAACUGAGAAUUCAGCUAUUAUAAAUGAGUUAAUUAGCUGUGAAUUAACCUUCUUAGACCAGGGAUAAGCUACUUUGAAGCUUAAUUGGAAUAUUUAGCUAUUUAUGAAGCUAAAUUGGAACGAAAUGCAAUUGUUUGAGCGAAUUGAUGCAAAUUGGGGAUUUUUCUUCGCAGCAGGUCUUGGAGCUUCGUUGAGCUGAAUUCGUACUCUUAGAAGCUGAUUUGGAAGCUGCUCUAAUCAAGGGUAAGCAGGGAAUUCCGUUAGAAAGUCAAUUUCGCAAGAAUUGAACUAUAUAAGCUCAUAUACAAGUAUUUUGACGCCGUUUCGAUGUUGUUCGCAGCGAGAGUGCGAUUGAGCCUUGGAUCGUGUUAGUUGACUUGGGAGAGCUCUUGGAGACUCUUCUUGAGGUAUUUAUUGAGCCAAAACAGGGAUUUAAGCUAUUCCUAUGUACUAAGUGCAAUUGCGCCGAACUUGGACAUUUCGAUCGUAGUUUUGAUACGAUAUUUAUGCUUCGUGUUCAGCAGGAUUGUGACCUAGUGGAGCUGAUCCUUCGGACCCCUUGGACUGAUUUGGAGCCUAGUUCUAGGUGGGUCGGACCUAACCAGAGCAAGUGAAACUCCCCUAUGUUCUAUAUGUAUUAUAGAAAUGGUCUUAUUAUGUGCUUAUGUGAUUGAUAAAGGGCUUGACAUGCGUCAUCAUAAUGUUGAACAUAUUCGAAAUGAAGUCUCUAUAAAGUAGAGAACACUUAUACAUGAAAGUAUUUACAUUUAUAUUCAAUUCAGUUGAAUGACUUAUGAACAAGUGUAGGAUGCACUUUAAAGUAGAGAACAAUGACAUUCUCUUGACUCUAACGUAGAGAACUAUGACAUGCUCAUGACUAUGUUGAUAGUGCCAUACUAGUGGCAAGAUUAUCAUGCUAUGUGAUUUAGCUUUACCUUUACAUGUUUACAAUCUAGUGGAUACUAGCUCUUGUUACUAUUUGUGUAUUGAAAUUCCGAUCAGAGGAUCGAGAGUAAGAACUUUGUAAUGAAAAUAUGAAAAUUGUGACAUGUGGACAAUGGACUUUGCUUGCUUGCCAUCGUGCUCAUUCGCACACGCUUGUGAGGGUAGCUCCCUACAAGCCGGCACUCCGGAGUUGGCCUACGCGACAGUUGCUCGCCCGUGCGGGAUUGGGUGCCGAAGUGGAUUGCCGUGGGGAGUGUAUACUACCACGGGGCCAUUAGGCGCGGCGCAAGCUGGACUACCUUGAGUAGAUCCCUGUGAAUGAAAGGAAAGUGCUAAAGAAAAUUGGACAGUAAUGAACGAUUACCAAUUACAGUGUACAGUAGUUACUUACACAUUUAUGCUUAUGUUCAUACUUAUCAUAGUUGCUAUGCUUCUAUUAUUCGGUUGAUUCAUUACUGUUGAAGCCAUGAUUACAUGUUGCUUACAUGCUCAUUACCUGUUAGCAUUGCGUAAUUCUAUAUCAUGCAAUUACUGUUUUUGCUUUCAUUUAGUACAUCAUGAGCCUAGUGGUGUAAUUCGCCGAGGCUGGCGGCUUACCCACUGGGAACUAUUGUUAAUAGUUCUCACGCCCUUUUGGUGGUUGUUUUUUUACAGAACCAUCCGCAGGAGAGGCUAGGGAUCGUGGCAAGGGAGUCGCGUCUAGCUAGACUUUGCUAGGAGCAUGCUAGUCGAUCACCUUGCUACUCGGGCUACGACCGAGGGUGAUGUCCCUUUUGUAUAGAGAAACCACCAUUGUACAGAUAUUUUUGUAUACCCUGUGUUGUAUAUGGAUUGCAGAUCCGGAUGUUAUAGUUCAUACUUCUUCUCCUUUUGCUGAGAUUUUGGACUGUAGUUUCCUUUGUUCUUUUACUGAUAGUAUACAGACUUGUACAUUGCUCUGAUAUCAGGAUAUGACUUUCGUUGUUUCACUUCCUAUCGACUUGUUUUCUUCGUAGACGCCUUAUAUACUGCAGGUGUAUGGCGGGUCUGUGCACGUGCCGGAUAUGCUUCCGCUGGUACCCGGGCGUGACAUCACCCCCCCGGUGCUCGCGCCGUGCGCGCGCCCCACGUCGCGCCUCGCUCUCUCUCUCUCUCUCAUUCUCUUUCUCUUUUUCUCUCUUUGUAAGGACCGAGAUUUUGGCAGUAUAGUUAAACUCUCAGUUGACGAUGUUUAUGUGUGUAAUUUAAUUAUAUAAACACUCGUCAAGUUUCAGGAGAAAAUGAGCUAAAAUGGAGAAGAUACGCGAUUUUUAGUUUUCACUUAAGUGAAUAGUAACUCCGGUUUCCCGGAGAAGCCACGGAGUAGAGUUGGCUUCUGGUGCGUAUCGGACUCCGUUCAUAGCGAUCCAAUAGCUCGUUUUGAUCGGUUUAGUUAUUCUAGAGCUAAUGGCGCUGACGGAUUUUGAGUUUGACGCACGGAUUUCGAGAAAAUCCAAAAAUACGUGUUUUAUAUGUAUUUGUGCGUAGUUUCUUCUGUUGGAGAGAAGAACGGAUUUCGUCGCGAAUCCGUGAUCGUUCGAGGUGAACCAAAAUCGUAGCUUUGUUGUCUCCGAGGUGCUGAUCGCACUGGUGCAAUCUGUUCGCAAAUCUGACGGACGGAUCUGCGGAGAUCACACGUUGAUCAAGGAGAGGUCGGUGAUGGCAAAACGGUAAUUUCGCAAAAGUCGUAAUAUUUUAUGUACCGUUUUAUGUGAAAUCGGAUGUGGAGGUGCUUUAGCGCGUUUUACUCGCGAUGUGAGGGACUCGGAUAGAAUUAUUGUGUCUAUAUGGGCUUUUCCGCAAUUUGGAGCUUGGUAUAUAUAUAGCUCCUAGGGUUUUGAUCCCCUAACCCUAACCUUAGCCAGCCCCCAGCUACCCUAGUCGCCCCUGCUACCUUCACCUUGCUCGCCCGCCCUAGCCGCGCACCCCCGGCCGCCGCCCGAGCAACCACCCUCCUCUUUCCAUCCCUUCUCUCUAUUUCCUCCGGGUUAGGCCUGCCGAGGCUUACAGUGCCUCUGGGUCGGUAGCCGCAUCGUUCCGACCUCGUCGAGUCCUCCCCCCCCGGCACCGCCGCCCGAGCAGCCCGGGAGCGCCGCCGCAGCCGCUCCAGCCGCCUGCAGCUUCCAGACCAAGCCAGGGCCGAGGCAAGCUUUGCAACUUCCAUGCGCGCCGCGCUCGGGCGCACCCGAGACAUCCCUCGACCUCCUGCAACCCUCCUUCCGUCGCCUGAGCUCCAGCCGGCGCCCGUGGGCGCCAUUGCCCCAGUGAACCCGAAGCCCCUAGUUGGUGCGGGCUCGGUUUGCUCCGCCGCCGCGCGGCUUCAGCCACAACCUGAGGUUGAGCACCUGCUCCUCCCCUUCCCCGCACCCAUCGGCGCCGCGCACGCCGCGGCCGCGGAAGCCGCGGAGCCAAGCUUCUCCGGCCAAGCCCGAAUAAGGCUUAAAUUUUUGUGGGUUUUGUUGUUUGAGCUUCCCGAGCCUCCCCGAUCUCUGCGGAAGGGAGCACCAUGAUCGUACCAAAAUGGCUGAUUGCAUCGUGCUCACCUUAAUUAUUCUGCGGGGAAACUCCGUUCCGCUGUUUCGGCGGUGUCGACCUGUCGACUGUUUGGCUGCUGUUUUGGUUUGCGCAUGCUUUAUCGGCGAUCGAGCCUUGUCCUGAAUGACCUCCGGAGGUGAGCACGGGAUCAUUGGUUAGUGCUGAUCACAGUGCUCCACCUCACUUUGAUCAACAAAUGAUCCGGUUAGCCUGUUUUGGCGCGAUCUUCCCCGACCUACGAACUGUUCGCAGAACUUCAGGUUGAUCCCGCGCCUUCCGACCAAUGAGCUGUUGCGCUCCAGACCGUGGAGCACGGCCUCCGCACGUUGAGACCUGUCAGUAUUGUGUCCUCGGCGGACUUAGAAGUCCUCAGUUUUGUGAAGAACGAGUCAUAGGAGGUCGCCGAUUUACAUAAAAUGAUGGAUUUUUAUGUAACACAGGGGCUUUUGUGCAAUUUUACACCUUGGUGGCUACUGUGGGCAGCGUGUAUGGAGUGUGGUUUGAACCCCUGGAACUGAAUUGUCCAUGAUCCUGUAGUUUUUUUUUGCGAAAAUCGAAAAGUCGAUUUCGGUGGUAUUUUUUCGGCGAAAUUCGCCGAAAGAACCGCGGUUUCUCGGUUCAGCUUCUUCCGAUGUGGCUUGGUUUACCCUGUAAAUUAUCCGCUGCAGCCUAUGUUGGCUGGUCCCAUCAUCAAUUUUGUGGGUUCGAGUGAUGAUGGGUGAGCGGAUGGUGGGAUCCGUGUCGAAAAUACGACACUUUCGGGAACCCGAAUUCGUACAAUUAUCCGGCGAUAAUUGUGUAGUGGUGGGUGAUCAUGCGUUUUGGCUGACCAAAAACAUUCCCAAAUUGGAGUGUUUUUGGGGCAGCAGGUGACUCGUGACCACGAGUCGGUGGAAGUUUCGGGCCACUUAGUGGGGUCCGACGGUGUCCCGGUGGUGGUUUUUCGGGACUUCCGGUGAGUAACGAUGAUCGGUUUUUGGGAAACCGAUUCGGGGAUUGUGUGGGGUUUGUGAGAUAGUCGUUUCAGAUGAGUGGGUUUUGGUUACUGACCCGUUUGGACUCGUAGGUCUGGUCGACUUUGUGCCGUACCCAGUGUUCGACGCACAGUGACAGGUGGUGCUCUCGAAAGCCUGGUAGUCGGUGAGAUCGUUUCACCCUUCCUCUUGUUCCUUUCAUAUCAGUAUCGUAGUCUCUACAUGUCAAGUUGAAAUUGUUAUCGCUUGUUUAUCGUAUUCCGUUGAUGUGCAUUUGGUAUAGUUGUGGAAUAGACCUGUAGAAGCAGGCUUGCCACCGUAUAUUGCAUCUCUGUGGACCUUGGUCCCAGGCCAACACAUCGACUCUCUUGUCAUGUGUUUCGAUCUGGUUGAUCAUGGUUCGGCGUUGUACGCCCUUGCACCUGGCUUCGGCCAUGGCACCGGUCUCCUUUUGCCGGUUUUCGUUUUGAGCAUAUCAGUAUGAUUUAGUUACAGCACUGUGUAUUCUAGACACCAGGUUGGUUUGGCCACCAGCCAAGGGUGUACGUAUCCGGAUAGGUCGUCGGUGACGCGUGAAUAAGCUCACAGUGUCUGCUCUGUGACAGGCAACGCUUGAGGCCUGCGGACCAAUAUAGCAGUAUCAGAUUGGGUUUGGUUUUGGACUAUUCACCUUUGAGGCAUCUGAUUAGUUGAGUUUUUAGUUACAGUAGUAGUUUCAUUCUUGCUCAGUUAUUAUCCUGUUUCUAUUACUACUGUAGUUGCUUUUAUAUCAUAUCAUGUUCAUAUCUGUUAUAGCUACUGUAGUUCGUUUUCAUAUAUCAGCAUCUAUAUUUGUUUAUCUAUCUCCUUUGGUUUCCGGUGAUUACGGCUUGCCUUCGUGGCUCUGUCGUACCCACUGAGAAAACCAUGGUUGCGGUUUCUCACCCUCCAUUUCUCCCCAGGUGACAUAGACGAGGAGUUGGAUUUUGGGCUCGAUGAGAGGACGACCUAGCUAGUCUGGUAUAGCGAUCGCCACCCUGGUUGUAUUUCUUCCGCCGCCUUUAGUAGUCAUUUAAAUAAUGGUUCAGUUAGCUGAUCUUUAUGAUUGUUUGAAUAUUGGUGAUCUGGUUUUGGUAGAUCUGUGGAUGCUUUCGUUAUUUAUGCAUGUGAACUGAGGUUUGUGGAUUUGGAUGUUGAUUUUAUGGAUAUCGGAUUUUCUUGUAUUUACAUAUCGUGGUUUUCUAUCCCUCGAGAUAGCUGGUUUUCAAAAUAGAGUUUCCUUGUGGAAAACAGUUUUAAAAAGGUUUUCGAAUGAUUUUCAUGAUGAAUGAAUUAGAGUUUAAAAACAAAAGCUUCCGUGUGGGGAGCACUUUUAAAUAGGAUGAUUGUUGUACUGUACAUCGCAUCAUCCAGCGCCUAAGGAGUGCUUAGAGGCAUGCAUCAUUUCUAAGGAUUGUUAGCUGUAUGAAAAUGCAUAUCAUGAAUUAGUUGUUAAUUGGUAAAUGUAGGUUGUGGUUGUGAUCCUGUUGUAUCCGUUGGUACGCCGUGCAAAUACAAAGGAGACUCUGCCUGAGUGGACAGAGGAACUUUGUAUUUGUGGCGGGUCUGUACGUCACGUUGGCCAGGUUGAAAAAAAAAACUGCGGCCGGCACAUCUUCCGCGACUCUGAGUUUUCAAAAUGAUAAUGGCUUUUAAAAUCGGCCCCGGGGCGUGACACUCUUCCCCCACGUGCGCCCGGGAGGAGGGGGGACCUGCGGCCGGCGCACGCGCCCUCCCGUGCGGCGGGGACCCGCGCCCGCGCACGCCCGUGCGGGGGUGACCUGUGCCCGACGCACGCGCGGGAGGAAGAGAGAGAGAGGGGUAGAGAGAAAGAGAAAGAGAGAGGAGUAGGGAGAGGGAGAGAGGAGGAGGAGUAGGGAGAGGGAGAGAGGAGGAGAGAGAGAGAGAGAGAGCUACGGGGGUGCGCGCGACCUGCGCCCCGUGUGCGCGCACGAGAGAGAGAGAGAGGGAGCCGAGGAGGGGGGUGGAGAGAGAGAGAGAGAGACGAAAAAAAAAAAAUUUGGGGGUCCCGCCGAAGCCCCCGCCAAACGCGGGGAGGCUUCGGAAGGAACUCCGAUUCUAUAUUAUCUAUAGAUUCCACACUAAGAGUCUGUUUGGUUCAAUAUAAAAUAGUAAAAAAUAUUUUUUUGUAGAAAAUUUUUUUAUAUUUGUAGUGUUUGUUUGUAGGAAAAAAAAAGUAGUUUUUUGACAUUUAUUUGGUUGAAAGGGAAAAAAAUUACAUUUAUUUGAUUCGAUGAAAAAAAAUAAAUGAAAAAAAUUUCAUGCAGCUUGAAUUUUUGUUUUGUGCCCAAAAAAGGCAGAAAAUGAAAACUUCAAUGUUUUUCCAGACCAAUAAAAAUCCUUUUAUGAAAAAAAUAUUCUUGGGUCAAAUGAAACAAGCAGAAAAACAUUUUUCAUACUAAAAAUAAUUUUUUAAUUUGUUUUACACCAAACCAAUNUCGUCGCGAAUCCGUGAUCGUUCGAGGUGAACCAAAAUCGUAGCUUUGUUGUCUCCGAGGUGCUGAUCGCACUGGUGCAAUCUGUUCGCAAAUCUGACGGACGGAUCUGCGGAGAUCACACGUUGAUCAAGGAGAGGUCGGUGAUGGCAAAACGGUAAUUUCGCAAAAGUCGUAAUAUUUUAUGUACCGUUUUAUGUGAAAUCGGAUGUGGAGGUGCUUUAGCGCGUUUUACUCGCGAUGUGAGGGACUCGGAUAGAAUUAUUGUGUCUAUAUGGGCUUUUCCGCAAUUUGGAGCUUGGUAUAUAUAUAGCUCCUAGGGUUUUGAUCCCCUAACCCUAACCUUAGCCAGCCCCCAGCUACCCUAGUCGCCCCUGCUACCUUCACCUUGCUCGCCCGCCCUAGCCGCGCACCCCCGGCCGCCGCCGAGCCACCACCCAUCUCUCUUUCCAUCCUUCUCUCUAUUUCCCUCGGGUUAGAGCCUGGCCGAGGCUGCAGUGCCUCUGGGUCCGUAGCCGGCGUCGUCCCGACCUCGUCGGAGUCUCCCCCGCCGGCCACCGCCGCCCCGAGUCGCCCGGAGCGCCGCCGCAGCCGCUCCAGCCGCCUGCAGCUUCCCAGACCGAGCCAGGCCGAGGCAAGCUUGCAGCCCUUCCCUCGCGCCGCCGCCGCUCGGGGCCGCACCCGAGACAUCCCUCCGACCUCCUGCAACCCUCCUUCGUCGCCCCUGAGCCUCCCGCCGGCCGCCGUGGCCGCCAUUGCCCGUGAACCCGAGCCCUAGUUGGUGCGGGCUCGGUUUGCUCCGCCGCCGCCGCCGCCGCUUCCAGCCACCACCUGAGGUGAGCACCUUGCUCCUCCCCUCCCCCGCACCCAUCCCUGGCCGCCGCGCACGCCGCCGUGCCGCCGGAAGCCGGCCGGAGCAAGCUUGCUCCGGCCAAGCCCGAAAUAGGGCUUAUUUUGGAUGGGUUUGUGUUCUGAGCUUCCCGAGCCUCCCCGAUCUCUGCGGAAGGGAGCACCAUGAUCGUAUCAAAUUGCUGAUCAUCGUGCUCACCUUAUAUUCUGCCGGGGAAACUCCGUUCCGCUGUUUCGGCGGUGUCGACCCUGUCGACCUGUUUGGCUGCUGUUUUGGGUUUGCGCAUGCUUAUCCGGCGAUCCGAGGCUGUCCUGAUGACUCCGGAGGUGAGCACGGUGAUCAUUGGUUAGUGCUGAUCACAGUGCUCACCUCACUUUGGAUCAACAAUGUCCGGUUAGCCCUGUUUGGCGCGAUCUUCCCCGACUACGCACUGUUCGCAGAACUUCAGGUUGCUCCCGCGCUUCCCACAAUGAGCUGUUGCGCUCCAGACCGUGAGCACGGCCUCCGGCACGUUGAGACCUGUCAGUAUGUGUCUCGGCGGAACUUAGAAGUCCUCAGUUUGUGAGAACGAGUCAUAGGAGUCGCCCGAUUUACAUAAAAUGAUGGAUUUUAUGUAAACACAGGGGCUUUUGUGCAAUUUUACACCUUGUGGCUACUGUGGGCAGCGUGUAUGAGUGUGUUUGACCCCUGGACUGAUUGUCCAUGAUCCUGUAGUUUUUGCGAAAAUCGAAAAGUCGAUUUCGGUGUAUUUUUCGGCGAAAUUCGCCGAAAGAACGCGGUUUCGGUUCAGACUUCUUCCGAUGUGGCUUGGUUACCCUGUAAAUUAUCGCUGAGCCUUGUUGGCUGGUCACCAUCAUCAUUUUGUGGGUUCGAUGAUGAUGGGUGAGCGAUGGUGGAUUCCGGUGUCGAAAUAGACACUUUCGGGAACCCGGAUUCGUACAAUUAUCCGGCGAUAAUUGUGUAGUGGUGUGAUCAUGCGUUUGCUGCCAAAACAUCCAAAUUGGAGUGUUUUGGGGCAGCAGGUGACUCGUGACACGAGUCGGUGAGUUUCGGGCCACUUAGUGGGUCCCGACGGUGUCCCGGUGUGGUUUUCGGGACUUCCGGUGAGUUACGAUGAUCGGUUUUGGGAAACCGAUUCGGGGAUCUGUGUGGGGGUUUGUGAGAUAGUGUACUUCAGAUGAGUGGGUUGGUUACUGACCCGUUGGAUCUUCGUAGGUCUGGUCGACUUGUGCGUACCCAGUGUUUCGACGCGACAGUGACAGGUGGGUGCUUCGAGCUGGUAGUCGGUGAGAUCGUUUCACCCUUCCUCUGUUCUUUCAUAUCAGUAUCGUAGUCUCUACAUGUCAGUUGAUUGUUAUCGCUUGUUUAUCGUAUUCCGUUGAUUGCAUUUGUAUAGUUGUGGAUAGACAUGUAGAGCAGGCUUGCACUCGUAUAUUGCAUCUCUGUGGACCUUGGGUCCAGGCAACACAUCGACUCUCUUGUCAUGUGUUUCGAUCUGGUUGAUCGUGGUUCGGCGUUGUACGCCCUUGCACCUGGCUUCGGCCAUGGCACCGGGAGAAGAGAGAUCGGGAACCCGUCCCUGUUUCGGCGCGGGUGACCCUGUCGACACUGUUUGGCUGCUGUUUGGUUGCCAUGCCUUAUCGGCAUCCGAGCUGUCCUGAUGACUCGGAGGUAGCACGUUCAUUGGUUUGCGAGGGCGAGCGGGGAGGCUACCUCACUUUGGAUCAACAAUCCGGUUAGCCUGUUUCGGCGAUCUUCCCGAUUUUCCUCUAACGCCUGUUCCAGGAACUCCAGGCUUCCUCCGCGCUUCCCACAAUGAGCUUGCGCUCGCAGACCGUGAACACGCUUCGGCACUUGAUACCCUGUCAGUAUGAUGUCUCGGCGGAACUUAAGGAAGUCCUCAGUUUGUGAGAACGAGUCAUAGAGUCGCCCGAAUUUACAUAAAAAUGAUGGAUUUUAUGGUAAACACAGGGCUUGUGCAAUUUUAAACACCUUGUGUAUGUGGGCAGCGUGUAAUGAGUGUGUUUGACGCCGCUGGACUGAUUGUCCAUAUCCUUAUUUUUUUUGCAAAAUGAAAUAAGCUCGUUUCGGUGUAUUUUUCCGGCGAGAAUCGGCCGAAAGAACCGGUUUCGGUUCAACUUCUUCGAUGUGGCUUGUUCGCCGUAAAUUAUCGCCUGAUCCUUGUUGGUGGUCACCAAUCAUCAUUUUGUGGGUUCGAUGAUGAUGGUGAGCGAGGUGAUUGCUCGGUCGUCCGAAAAUAGAACUUUCGGGAAGCGGAUUCGUACAAUUAUCCGGCAUAUGUGUAGUGUGUGAUCAUGCGUUUGCUGCCAAAAACAUCCAAAUUGGAUGUUUUGGGCAGCAGGGUUGACUGUCGUGCCACGAGUCGGUGAGUUUCGGGCCACUUAGUGGUGACGGUUCCGUGUGGUUUUCGACUUUCCGGUGAUUACGAUGAUCGGUUUUGGGAAACCGAUUCGGGGAUCCUGCGUGCUGGUUUGGAGAUAGUUAGCGUCAGAUAGUGGGAUGGUUAUGACCCGUUGGAUCUCGAGAGUCUGGUCGACUUGUGCGUACCUCCAGUGCUUCGACGCGACAGUGACAGUGGGUGCUUCGAGCUGGUAUCGAUUUGUGAAGAUCGUCACCCUUCCUCUGUUACUUUCAUAUGCAUAUCGGUAUCUCUACAUUCAGUUAUUGUUAUCGCUUGUUUACCGAUUCCGUUGAUUGCAUUGUAUAUUGUGGAUAGACAUGUAGAGCAUGGCUUGCCACUCUGCUAUAUUGCAUCUCUGUGGACCUUUGGUCAGGCACACAGUCGACUCUCUUGUCAUGUGUUUUCGAAUCUAGGUUGAUCAUGGUCGGCGUUGUAUCCCCUUGCAACCUGGCUUCGGCCAUGCACCGUCUUCCUGUUGCCGGUUUUCGUUUUGAGCAUAUCAUAUGUAUUAGUUACGCGAGCACUGUGUAUCUUAGACACACCGAGGUUGGUUUGGCCACCCAGCCAAGGAGUGUUACGUAUCUCGAUAGGUCGUCGGUGACGCGUGAAAUAAGCUCACAGUGUCUGCUCUGUGACACACGCUUGAGGGCGACUUCGCGGACAGUCAAUAUAGCAGUAUCAGAUUGUUUUGUUUUGGACUAUUCAUAUUUGAGGGCAUCUAUUAUUUAGUUUGUAGUUACAGUCAGUAUUUCAUUCUGGCUCAGUCUAUUAUCCUGUUUCUAUUACUACCUGUAGUUGCUUUUAUAUCAUAUAUCAUGUUCAUAAUCUUUUAUAGCUACUGUACGUUCGUUUUCAUAUAUCGAGGCAUCUCUAUUUGUUUAUACUAAUCUCCUUUGGUUUCCCGGUGAUUAACGGUCUUGCUUCGUGGCUCUGUCGUACCACUGAGAAAACCAUGUUGCUGGUUUCCUCACCCCCAUCAUUCUCCCCAGGCUGACAUAGACGAGGAAGCUUGGAUUUUGGGCUCGAAUGAUAGGCACGACCUAGCUAUCUGGUAUAAGCGAUCGCCACCCUGGUUGUAUUUCUUCCGCCGCCUUAGGUAGCUCCAUUUAAUAAUGGUCAGUUAGCGAUUCUUUGGUAAUGAUGUUUGAAUAUUGGGAUCUGGUUUGGUAGAUUAGUGAUGCUUUCGUUAUUAUGCCAUGUGAACUGAGGUUUGUGGAUUUGGAUGUUGAUCUUUAUUGAUAUCGGAUUUUCUUGUAUUUAACAUAUCGUGGUUUUCUUCUCCUCGAGAUAGCUGGUUUUCAAAAUACGAGUUCCUUGUGAAACAGUUCUUAAAUAAGGUUUUCGAAUGAUUUAUUCAUGAUGAAUGAAUUAGAGUUUAAUAAAUCAAAAGCUUCGUGUGGGGGAGCCACUUUUAAAUAGGAUGAUUGUCUGUACUGUACAUCCAUCAUCCGCGACCUAAGGAGUGCUUGGCAUGCAUCAUUGAUUCUAAGGAUUGUUAGCUGUAUAUGAAGAAUGCAUAUCAUCGAAUUAGUUGUUAAUUUGGUAAAUGUAGGCUUGUGUUGUGAUUCCUGUUGUAUCCGUUGGUACGUCGUAAUAACAAAAUUGAGACUCGCCUGAUGGACAGAGGAACGUGUAUUUGGGGCGUCUGUACGUCACGUUGGCCAGGUUGAAAAAAAAAAAAAAAAAGGCACAUUCAUUCCGCGACUCUGAAGUUCAGAAUAUGAUAAUGGCUUUUAAACCAUCGCCCGGGGCGUGCACUUUUCCCCACGUGCGCCCGGGAGGUAGGGCGGGACUGGCCGCGCACGCGCCUCCGUCUGGCGGGACCCCUGCGCGCGCACCGCCCAGUGCGGGGGGUGCCUGUGCCGCAGCCACUGCGUCCGGGAGCGAUCGAGAUGAGAGAGGGUAGAAGAGCAAAGAGAAAGAGAGAUUGAGUAGGGAGAGGGAGAGAGGAGGAGGAGUAGGGAGACGCGGAGAGCAGGAGGAGAGAGAUGAGAGAGAGAGCCUACGGGGUGCGCCGCAGACCUGCGCCCGCGUGGCGCGACGGAGCAGAGAGAGGGAGCGAGGAGGGUGGGGGAUGAGAGAAGAGAGNNNNNNNNNNNNNNNNNNNNNNNNNUUCUCUUUGCCGGUUUUUUUGAGAUCAUCAGCCAUGAUUAUUAUGUAAGCACUGUUCAUUCUAGAACACCAGGUUUGUUUGCACCAGCCAAGGACUGUAGUAUCGGAUAGGCGUCGUGUACCUACACGUGAAUAGCUCACCAGUGUUUUGCUCAUGUGACAGACAACGCCAUUGAGUGAUCUGCGAACCAACUUUAUCAGCAGUAGGUCAUGAUUGGAGUUUGGUUUUGGACUAUUACCCUUGAGGCAAUACUUGAUCAUUUGAGUUUUGCUGGUUACAGUAGAUAGUGUUCUAUUCUUACUCAGUUAUUAUUCCUAUUUCUAUACUAUGUAGUUGCUUUUAUAUACAUAUCAUGUCAUAUCUGUUAUAGCAUACGUAAGUUCGCUUUCAUAUUAAUGCAAGCAUCUAUAUUUUUUAUCUAUCUCCUUUGAUUCCGUUGUUUACGGUUUUGCUAUUCGUGCGCAAUCUGUCCGAUACCCAUGAGAUAAACCUGGUUUGGUUCUCAACCCCUCAUUCCCCCCAGCGUGACAUAGCUGAUGAGGUAUGUUUUUUCCGGGCUCGACGCAUCGAGGUAACGAUCUAGCUAGUUGGCAUAUAGCUGAUCGCCACCCUGGUUUGUCAUUUCUUCCCCGCUUAGUAGUCAUUUUAAAUAAAUGUUCAGUUACGCUGCUCUUUAUGAUUGUUUGAAUGUUGGUGAUCUGUUUGGUGGGUAGUAUCUGGGGAUUUCGUCGUUUGUUAUUUUAGCAUAGUGAUUGAUCUUGAGUGUGUGGAUUUGGAUGUUGUUUAGGAUAUCGAUUUUCUUAUAUUUAAAUAUCGUGGUUUGCUACUCGAGGUAGCUAGUUUUCAAAACAGAGUUUCCUAUUGUGGAAACAGUUUUAUAAAAGGUUUUUCGAAUUAGAUUUUCAUAGAUGAUGAAUUAGAGGUUUUAAAACAAAAGCUUCCGACGAUGUGGGCAGCACUUUUAAUAGGAUGAUUGUGUGUACUGUGCCACUCGCAUAUCCAGCGCCUGAAGGAGUGCUUAAGCCAUGCAUCAUUUCUAGGAUGUUAGCCUGUAUGAAAAUGUCCAUAUCAUUGAAUUGGUUUGUUAGAUUGGAAUGUUAGGUUGUGUGUGUGUCCUGUUGUUCAUCCGUUGGCACGCGCUGCAAAUAUAAAGGAGACUUUGCCCGACCGUGCGACAGAGAAACUUUGUAUUUGUGGGGCCGUCUGUACGUCGUGGCAGGGUUGAAAAAAAAAAUAAGGCACAUCUUCCUGCGACUCUCGCACGUUUAUUUCAAAAUAUACAUGCGCUUUUAAAAUCGGACUGACAUCGCUCCGUCAGUGCAAUCACACACAGCCCAGAUCACCAGGCGAUGAGGACUCGUCUCGUAGCCCGUCAAUCCAGACCCUGGCAGCACGAGACUCGCCACACAUGUCCGGCUGUCGUGAACCGGUCCUCUAUUACCAAAUAUAACGACCCCCCCAGCCUGGCUCAGCCGAGACCGCCGACAAUGUCCAGCUGGCUGAACCGUCUUUGAUACACAAAUAUAACGACCAGCCCUCUACUAGCCAAUAUACUUGGCUAAAGCAUUUUUUUGGGCGGUGAUUGGGCCCAACGAUUAUUAUGCUAGUGGACAAUGGUCGUACAUUUGUUUUAUGGGAAAAAUAGUGCGGCGGAAGAAGAAAUAACCAACAAUAACCCAGAUCAAAUGAGGAGUAUUUGCAAUUAAAUCUUUGUAAAACAUAGGUUUUAGCAAUAAUAUUGCCGUAGUAUGCAUGGAUUUAUUUUUCAGCUAUUUACAAAUGAAUCUUCAAGCAUAUCCAAUAUUAAAAUCAAACAAAAAUAUAAAAUAACUUUUUACCCAGGAAUCCGUAUUUUGGUCGGGAAAAGUAAAAAAAAACCAAUAAAUGUCUUAAUUGAAGAAAAACUUGUAAAAAAAAAUUAAUAUUAGAAUCACAAAUUUUGCAGUAAAAUACAGUGGAUGCUCGGACGAAAGCAUGUAUUUAAUUUAGGAGCAUUGCAUCUAUGAACAAAGGACAGUCAAGCCAAAUUUCUUUGCACUCUAUCAUCAGUCCCAAGAAAAUAGCAUUAAUCAAAAUUAGUACUAAUAUACAAUGUAAGAGAAAAUAUAAUUAAAAAGAUCAAUAUCAACGAUCAUAGAAACGCAGCAGAAUCAUUAUUUCAUGUUCUUUAUAAAUGCAUCAAAAAAGUAAGGCUCCAAGUCAGUACGAAUCCGCAGCUCGCAUCAUAAGUAACAGGUAGUAGUAAGGAACAACAAACCACCAUUGUCAGAGAAGUGCGAGAACAACAAGGAUAACAUACAUAGGGAUAAUGGAUGCUAAAGUAUUUACUCAUUCGGGGAAAUGCGUUGUGCUAAUCACUAAGUAAUAACAAUAGUAGAGAAGUGGUUGCUAUAGUUACGGCGUUGCCAAACUUCCACCCGUUUCGAAGUGCAUAUUUCCCACUUUCCUCUACUUUAUCAAUCAUAGCUUUAAAGAAAGCCACAGAAUAAUCAAGAAGAACAGCAAGGAAUAAAUAGAGAUGAAAGUAAUAAUAGGAAAUAACAACUUGUAGCAACAUUUAAUCUUGAAAGAAGAUAGAAAUAGUAAUAAUACUUAAGCAAGACCAAAUAAAGUUGCAAAAAAAAACUUAAAAACUGUUGCCACAAUGAUACGUCCCUCAGCCUAGCUCCAUUGAAGGGAAAUUUAAUUUAAAUAGUCACAUAUAGCAAGAACCAUACAAACCAAGUAUUAAUUUAUAAUAUAAUUGCUUCAUGAAAAAUGACGGUAGAGGGGUUGGGGACAAAGAGGAGAACAAUUAAACAAUCUUUAAAACAUGGCCCAAAAGCAAAGACUCAGUUAAGGACGGGAGCGGGCACACUGCUAUAAGCAGCAGGACCCGGCCACAGUAGGAAUAGCAGGCGUACAAUGAAGGCAAAAGCGCACAACAACACAAGGUAAGCAAUGGUAGGAAAUGGUUGCUGAGCCAGUAAUUACAAUGAAGGAACGUGGUGCAAUCAUAAUUGAAGAACAACCGUUAGAAGCGGUUUGGCCUAUGAGUAAGGCACCAAAUUCGCACUCCGAAUAUUCAAAACCGUAUCUGUUCGAAGCAAUAUUUUCGCAAUUCCCUCUAUAUCUAAUCAUCAUACCGUUAACGAAGAGCAGAAAUAGAAAGAACGCAAGAAUUAAUAUGAAUCCAAGUAGAACAUUCAAGAGAUCAGCCAUCAUAGUAUGCAGGAAAAUAGAGUGAAAUUUUAACAACAUACUUCAGACCGAGCAGAUGACAAUUUUACCAAGCUAGGCUUAUUUACACAAUAGAUAUGAACAGCAACAGAACUCAGCGCCAGACAACAGCAAGCUACAGAGACGAAAAAAAAAAAAUUUGGGGGUCCCGCCGAAGCCCCCGCCAAACGCGGGGAGGCUUCGGAAGGAACUCCGAUUCUAUAUUAUCUAUAGAUUCCACACUAAGAGUCUGUUUGGUUCAAUAUAAAAUAGUAAAAAAUAUUUUUUUGUAGAAAAUUUUUUUAUAUUUGUAGUGUUUGUUUGUAGGAAAAAAAAAGUAGUUUUUUGACAUUUAUUUGGUUGAAAGGGAAAAAAAUUACAUUUAUUUGAUUCGAUGAAAAAAAAUAAAUGAAAAAAAUUUCAUGCAGCUUGAAUUUUUGUUUUGUGCCCAAAAAAGGCAGAAAAUGAAAACUUCAAUGUUUUUCCAGACCAAUAAAAAUCCUUUUAUGAAAAAAAUAUUCUUGGGUCAAAUGAAACAAGCAGAAAAACAUUUUUCAUACUAAAAAUAAUUUUUUAAUUUGUUUUACACCAAACCAAUCGAUCUCCCACAAACCAAAAUAAAAAAAAAGAAAUUAUGGGGUUGAGCUACGUAUUAUCAAGCUCUUUGAGCUAUAAUUAAUGUUAAAUGAUACAAUAUUCAAUUUAACAAUAAAUUCUGUUAAACAUGAUACAAAUUACGUGAACACUUUAGAAAAAAAAUUUCAUAACUUAAAAUAUUUAUUUUUUAGAUCAUUAUGUAACUACCUAGCCCACUAGCAACAACAAACUCGUUGGGCCCAACAACCGGCCUAAAAUGCUUAAGCUCAGUUAUUAUUACUAGUGUCUAAGUCUAUUAUAUACCCAAUCACAUCACCAUUCCUAUCCGAUAUGGGAUUAUUGGGGUGUGACACAUUAGCUCAUCAAAAAAUGAACAAUAAAAUUGAACAACUUCCUAAAAAUAAGGGAUAGAAAUCUGAAAUUCAAGGCCAGUGUUAUAAAUUUUGUUUGAUGUAGGUGAAGAAAUUUUUCUUUCGAAAACUCAGCCAACGUGGAUUAUCUUAUACUGCUAAACAAAAAAAAAAAACCCUCUUGCAAUCCAUCAAAAUUAACACCUUAAAUGAUCCCCUAGAUAUUAAGUAAAUAAAAUUGAAAAAAUGAAAUUCACAAUAUAUAAAAUUCAUUAUCCCAUACAUCAUAUUUAACCAUGUUAAAUAUCGUAUCGAAUCUUUAAUUAUUAAGAGUAACUUAAUAGAGAAAAGAACUUAAUGCUAUUAAUAGUAGCGAAGUCUUAUGUUUUAGGCCUUUUACAAACAAUUCUAUCAGGAUUACAAGCAAUCCCGUUUGGUUCGGGUUAUCCUGCUAGGAUUACAAGCAAUCCUGUGAGAAUUACUGUGUUUGGUUCAUCCGGUAUGUAAUCGAAUCGGUAAUGUAGCAAUGCAAAUGGUGCAGAAUUAUACUAAAAAUAUUAACGAGAUGAGGGGUGUGUAUCUUUGAGUGCUGAAAGCCAGUAAUACUGCAUAUUAUGUAAAAUAACAAUUUUACCCCUCAAACUCUCAAAACCUUUUCAAUACGUCAUUUUAAAAAAUUUAAUUUAAAAUUUUGAAUCAUUAGCUUUUAAAUUUUAAAUUUUGACUUUUAAUUUUAAAUUUCAAAUUUUUAAUUUUUAAAUUUCUAAACAUCAAAUUUAUAUUUUUAAUUUUAAAUUUCAAUUUAAAUUUUAGAUUUUAAAUUUUAAAUUCUAAAUUUUAAUUUUUAAUUUUUAAUUUUUAAUUUUAAAUUNAAUUUAUAUUUUUGUUCAAAUUUAAAUUUUAAAAUUAAAUUUUAAAUUUAAAAAAAUUAAAUUAUUUUAAAAAAGGUUUGUCUAAGGGCAAUUUUGGAAUAGACAAUACUUUAUUGUCUAAAUUACUGAAUUUUAUAGACAAAACCAAACAUAGUAAUGCUAUAAACACUGCAAUCCAGCAUUACAUUAUUGUAUUAAACCAAACGCGCUAAUGCAGCAUAAGUAGUAAUUUCAUUUGGAAAUUCAAAAUACCUAGAUAUAUCGAAAUACUCUGUAAUAUUUUGUUGAUAUGUUACCAAUUAUAAUAUGAAGACUUUUGAUUAGGCCGGUCGAAAAAUAAAAAAAAGGGUUGAUAUUAUCAAGAAAAUUAGGUAUUUACUGUCACACCCCGGGGUCCAUUUUUGUUUGAAACACAGCGAAAAAGCGUCUAAAUUUUUUUUGAAAAUUUGACCCCAGGGUAUGCCAGAUCUGCCACAAAUACAGAAAAUCCACUGUUCACACGAACAGAGUCUCCCCUGUAUUUGUACGGCGUCGCACAAGUACAACGAGUAAACCGGAUACAAUCACAACUAAAUGAAUAUAGAGAUAACUAUACAUUCAUACAUUCACCAUUCACAUCCCAGAUUUACUUUCAAUGUCCAAACAUAAAUACACAGAAAACCCUUUUGAAAGCUGUUCCCUAUACGAAAAUUUUUAUCUUUUAAAAACGCUACCACGAGAGUAGAAAACCUUUUAUUUACGAAAACCAUAAAUCCUUUUCAUUUCACAAAAUUCACAAAUCCAUUUAUUACAUUCAUGAAAACCCACAUUUUCAAAUGUAAUAAAACUACUAAACCAUAUAAACUAUCUAAGCUAUAUCAACAGAAUAGUAGGGGUAGAAACUAAACCGAUUAAGCUAGGUCGGAAGCUCUAUCGACUGCUACGUACGUAUCUCACGUCUUGUCUCAACCCUCACUGCCCGCGAUACCUGAAAAAUAGUGGGGGAAGUGAGAACAUGUAAACAUGUCUCCCCUCCCAGUGGGUACCGCAAGCCGAUGAAGGCGAGGAGUACUCACCGGAUCAGGAAGAGCUAAACAACAGUACGGGUCAGUGGAAAUACAGUAGCAAUAAUAAUGAACGAAUGAAACAUAUAUGUAAAUAAAAGUACAACUACCGCUACUGUAAUGAACAACUGAAUGUAUACAUGCAACAAAACUAUAGUAGCAAGACAACUGUAAAGAAGGAACGGUAAGUAUACAUGCAACAACCGCUACUAUAGUCAUAUGCGUCAACCGGACAAGAAGUCCAAAUAUACCCAAUCUGGUACCUGCUAUAUUGGUCCCCAGACCUCAAGCGCUGCCUGUCACUAACCUGCACCGACCUGAUUCACCCGCCCCACAGGACGACCCAUCCGGAUAAGCACACCUCCGGUCAGUGGCCAAACCGACCCAGUGUCGUGAAUACCCCCAAGUGCUGUGACUAAAUCAUGCUAGUAUGCUCAAUAUAAAAACCGGCUGAAGCCGGUGCCUGGGCCGAAGCCAGAAACAAGGGCGUACAACGCCGAACCACGAUCAACCAGAUCGAAACACAUGACAAGAGAAUCGAUGUGUUGCCUGGACCCAAGGUCCACAGAGUCCAACUGACUAACAAGGUCACUGAUACGAAGUACGAGAACCGACCAACCAGGUCAACAGAUACGGAAUGCAACAACCAACCAACUAGGUCAACAGAUACGGAAUGCAAUGACCAACCAACUAGGUCAACAGAUACGGAAUG